rnacentral:lncRNA from 1 species
CCCAACACAUUCACCUACCACUACAUCCACUCAUUUCACCCAACACAUCCAUUCUCCAAACAUCCACCCACUACACCCAUUACAUCCACUCAUUACCACAACCCAUUACGCCCAUUACAUCCACUCAUUACCAAACAUCCACCCACUACACCCAUUACAUCCACUUAUUACCAAACACUACUCAUUACCAAACAUUCAUCCACUACACCCAUUACAUCCACUUAUUACCAAACAUCCACCCACUACACCCAUUACAUCCACCCACUACACCCAUUACAUCCACUCAUUACCAAACAUCCACCCACUACACCCAUUACAUCCACUCAUUACCAAACACUCAUCCACUACACCCAUUACAUCCACUCAUUACCAAACAUCUACCCACUACACCCAUUAUAUCCACUCAUUACCACAACCCACUACACCCAUUACAUCCACUCAUUACCAAACAUUCACCCAUUACACCCAUUACAUCCACUCAUUACAACUCCAUACACUCCUCUCCCUAGCCUAUAAAUACAUCCACCCUUCACCAUAAUUUGGAUUCCAUCUCCAUCCAAAGACACUACAUUUUCACAUCUCACCAAUCCAUACACUUUCAUCUCUUAGCCAUGCAAAUCCAUUCCAUCCAUAUAUCCAUAUACAUCCUAGACACUUGUGCUACAACAAGGUGGUGAAAACAAAGGUCCUUGGCAUUUCAAGCUUGGAACUUUGGAGCAUUUUAGGUGUACUUCAUUCUUACUUUCAAU